UUUAGUUUGAUGUAGCUAAACUGAACUGAUGAACCUUUGUUUACGAAUAUAGUUUGCCCAUCUGGAUAAUUGGGCAUUGAAAGUUAAAGUUAAUUGUGAAACUCCAUAGGAAGCAUGGACUGUAAAUAACUCAAAAUGUUUUGAAUAUUUGUACUGGAGACACCCGUUCUUAAUAUUGUGCCUAACUAUGGAACACAUCCAGCUUGUUCACGUUGUUUAAGUUUAUAUGCAAAAGGUAUUCAUGGUAGAAACAUUUGUGUAAGUAAAUGAGUCUGCACAUAGCAUCCAAGAUUGUUUAAAAUUGUUUUCACACCCUUUUGUUGUUUAGAGUUGUUUAGAGUGUAAUGUUAUUGACCUAGUUGUCAUGUAUUCUAGUGACUUCCGUCAUGUUUGAGGGGGCGGGAUGUCAUGGAAUGACCCUUUUCUUGUUCUGAAAGUUAUGUUUAAGACUUGUGACGAGACUAGAAGAAAUAGUUCGGAGAAGAAGGGGAAGACGAGAGUUGUUAUCUACGUAAUGGCAGUUCGCCAACAGCGACGACAGUCGCUAACAGUUUAGCAGUUUGCUUGCAGUUCCAGCAUUUCUAUGUUGAGUUGGGAACUCUUUAGAUAAUCCUUAAGGAAUUAUCCCACACAGUUGUUGAAUUUUUUCUCUUCACUUUCCAAUGAUGGUCCACGACAGUGUCACAAUAAAGGAACCAACAUGAGUUAAA